GCCUGGGUGGCUCAGUCGGUUAAGUGUCUGACUUCAGCUCAGGUCAUGAUCUUACAGUCUGUGAGUUCGAGCCCCACGUCAGGCU
rnacentral:tRNA from 1 species